AGGCUGAACUAGAAAUUUUUUCAGGUUGCUUUCAAAAAAGCACUGCACUUGCAACCAUUCAAAGAUACUACUGACCAAAUCCAUGGAAAAGAAAUUACUUGUAUAAAGCCACAACAAUAAAUAAA